rnacentral:rRNA from 1 species
UUUGGUUAAGUUAGAAAGGGCGCACGGUGGAUGCCUUGACACUAGGAGUCGAUGAAGGACGGGACUAACGCCGAUAUGCUUCGGGGAGCUGUAAGUAAGCUUUGAUCCGAAGAUUUCCGAAUGGGGAAACCCACCAUACGUAAUGGUAUGGUAUCCUUAUCUGAAUACAUAGGGUAAGGAAGACAGACCCAGGGAACUGAAACAUCUAAGUACCUGGAGGAAGAGAAAGCAAAUGCGAUUUCCUGAGUAGCGGCGAGCGAAACGGAACAUAGCCCAAACCAAGAGGCUUGCCUCUUGGGGUUGUAGGACAUUCUAUACGGAGUUACAAAGGAACGAGGUAGACGAAGCGACCUGGAAAGGUCCGUCGUAGAGGGUAACAACCCCGUAGUCGAAACUUCGUUCUCUCUUGAAUGUAUCCUGAGUACGGCGGAACACGUGAAAUUCCGUCGGAAUCUGGGAGGACCAUCUCCCAAGGCUAAAUACUCCCUAGUGAUCGAUAGUGAACCAGUACCGUGAGGGAAAGGUGAAAAGCACCCCGGAAGGGGAGUGAAAGAGAUCCUGAAACCGUGUGCCUACAAAUAGUCAGAGCCCGUUAAUGGGUGAUGGCGUGCCUUUUGUAGAAUGAACCGGCGAGUUACGAUCCCGUGCGAGGUUAAGCUGAAGAGGCGGAGCCGCAGCGAAAGCGAGUCUGAAUAGGGCGUUUAGUACGUGGUCGUAGACCCGAAACCAGGUGAUCUACCCAUGUCCAGGGUGAAGUUCAGGUAACACUGAAUGGAGGCCCGAACCCACGCACGUUGAAAAGUGCGGGGAUGAGGUGUGGGUAGCGGAGAAAUUCCAAUCGAACCUGGAGAUAGCUGGUUCUCCCGAAAUAGCUUUAGGGCUAGCCUUAAGUGUAAGAGUCUUGGAGGUAGAGCACUGAUUGGACUAGGGGUCCUCAUCGGAUUACCGAAUUCAGUCAAACUCCGAAUGCCAAUGACUUAUCCUUAGGAGUCAGACUGCGAGUGAUAAGAUCCGUAGUCAAAAGGGAAACAGCCCAGACCGCCAGCUAAGGUCCCAAAGUGUGUAUUAAGUGGAAAAGGAUGUGGAGUUGCUUAGACAACUAGGAUGUUGGCUUAGAAGCAGCCACCAUUUAAAGAGUGCGUAAUAGCUCACUAGUCGAGUGACUCUGCGCCGAAAAUGUACCGGGGCUAAAUACACCACCGAAGCUGCGGAUUGAUACCAAUGGUAUCAGUGGUAGGGGAGCGUUCUAAGGACAGUGAAGUCAGACCGUAAGGACUGGUGGAGUGCUUAGAAGUGAGAAUGCCGGUAUGAGUAGCGAAAGACGGGUGAGAAUCCCGUCCACCGAAUGCCUAAGGUUUCCUGAGGAAGGCUCGUCCGCUCAGGGUUAGUCAGGACCUAAGCCGAGGCCGACAGGCGUAGGCGAUGGACAACAGGUUGAUAUUCCUGUACCACCUCUUUAUCGUUUGAGCAAUGGAGGGACGCAGAAGGAUAGAAGAAGCGUGCGAUUGGUUGUGCACGUCCAAGCAGUUAGGCUGAUAAGUAGGCAAAUCCGCUUAUCAUGAAGGCUGAGCUGUGAUGGGGAAGCUCCUUAUGGAGCGAAGUCUUUGAUUCCCCGCUGCCAAGAAAAGCUUCUAGCGAGAUAAAAGGUGCCUGUACCGCAAACCGACACAGGUAGGCGAGGAGAGAAUCCUAAGGUGUGCGAGAGAACUCUGGUUAAGGAACUCGGCAAAAUGACCCCGUAACUUCGGGAGAAGGGGUGCUUUCUUAACGGAAAGCCGCAGUGAAUAGGCCCAAGCGACUGUUUAGCAAAAACACAGCUCUCUGCGAAGCCGUAAGGCGAAGUAUAGGGGGUGACACCUGCCCGGUGCUGGAAGGUUAAGGAGAGGGGUUAGCGUAAGCGAAGCUCUGAACUGAAGCCCCAGUAAACGGCGGCCGUAACUAUAACGGUCCUAAGGUAGCGAAAUUCCUUGUCGGGUAAGUUCCGACCCGCACGAAAGGUGUAACGAUUUGGGCACUGUCUCAACCAGAGACUCGGUGAAAUUAUAGUACCUGUGAAGAUGCAGGUUACCCGCGACAGGACGGAAAGACCCCGUGGAGCUUUACUGUAGCCUGAUAUUGAAUUUUGGUACAUUUUGUACAGGAUAGGCGGGAGCCUUUGAAACCGGAGCGCUAGCUUCGGUGGAGGCGCUGGUGGGAUACCGCCCUGAAUGUAUUGAAAUUCUAACCUACGGGUCUUAUCGACCCGGGAGACAGUGUCAGGUGGGCAGUUUGACUGGGGCGGUCGCCUCCUAAAGUGUAACGGAGGCGCCCAAAGGUUCCCUCAGAAUGGUUGGAAAUCAUUCGUAGAGUGCAAAGGCAUAAGGGAGCUUGACUGCGAGACCUACAAGUCGAGCAGGGACGAAAGUCGGGCUUAGUGAUCCGGUGGUUCCGCAUGGAAGGGCCAUCGCUCAACGGAUAAAAGCUACCCCGGGGAUAACAGGCUUAUCUCCCCAAGAGUCCACAUCGACGGGGAGGUUUGGCACCUCGAUGUCGGCUCAUCGCAUCCUGGGGCUGUAGUCGGUCCCAAGGGUUGGGCUGUUCGCCCAUUAAAGCGGUACGCGAGCUGGGUUCAGAACGUCGUGAGACAGUUCGGUCCCUAUCCGUCGUGGGCGUAGGAAAUUUGAGAGGAGCUGUCCUUAGUACGAGAGGACCGGGAUGGACGCACCGCUGGUGUACCAGUUGUUCUGCCAAGGGCAUAGCUGGGUAGCUAUGUGCGGAAGGGAUAAGUGCUGAAAGCAUCUAAGCAUGAAGCCCCCCUCAAGAUGAGAUUUCCCAUAGCGUAAGCUAGUAAGAUCCCUGAAAGAUGAUCAGGUUGAUAGGUUCGAGGUGGAAGCAUGGUGACAUGUGGAGCUGACGAAUACUAAUAGAUCGAGGACUUAACCAUAUAAUAUGUA